rnacentral:rRNA from 1 species
CCUACGGGAGGCAGCAGUGAGGAAUAUUGGUCAAUGGCCGAGAGGCUGAACCAGCCAAGUCGCGUGAGGGAAGACGGCCCUACGGGUUGUAAACCUCUUUUGUAGGGGAGUAAAGAGCGGUACGUGUGCAUCAUUGCGAGUACCCGAAGAAAAAGGAUCGGCUAGCUCCGUGCCAGCAGCCGCGGUAAUACGGAGGAUCCGAGUGUUAUCCGGAUUUAUUGGGUUAAAGGGGUGCGCAGGGGGAGGGGAAGUUCAGAGGUGAAAUUGGGGGGCCAAACCCCGUACUGCAGUUGAAUCUGGAAGCCUUGAGUGCGGGAGAGGUAUGCGGAAUGCGUGGUGUAGCGGUGAAAUGCGUAGAUAUUACGCAGAACACCGAUUGCGAAGGCAGCAUACUGGAGCGCAACUGACGCUCAUGCACGAAAGCGUGGGUAUCGAACAGGAUUAGAUACCCUAGUAGUC